rnacentral:rRNA from 1 species
UACGUAGGGUGCGAGCGUUGUCCGGAAUUAUUGGGCGUAAAGAGCUUGUAGGCGGUUUGUCGCGUCUGCUGUGAAAAUCCGGGGCUCAACCCCGGGCGUGCAGUGGAUACGGGCUGGCUGGAGGCAGGCAGGGGAGAACGGAAUUCCUGGUGUAGCGGUGAAAUGCGCAGAUAUCAGGAGGAACACCGGUGGCGAAGGCGGUUCUCUGGGCCUGUACUGACGCUGAGGAGCGAAAGCGUGGGGAGCGAACAGG